rnacentral:rRNA from 1 species
GACGAACGCUGGCGGCGUGCUUAACACAUGCAAGUCGAACGGAAAGGCCCUGCUUUUGUGGGGUGCUCGAGUGGCGAACGGGUGAGUAACACGUGAGUAACCUGCCCUUGACUGUGGGAUAACUUCAGGGAACUGGGGCUAAUACCGGAUAGGAGCUCCUGCUGCGUGGGGGGGGAUGGAAAGUUUCGGCGGUUGGGGAUGGACUCGCGGCUUAUCCGCUUGUUGGUGGGGUAGUGGCUUACAAAGGCUUUGACGGGUAGCCGGCCUUAGAGGGUGACCGGCCUCCAUGCGCCUGCGAUACGCCCCAGUCUCCUACGGGAGGCAGCAGGGGGGAAUAUUGCACAACGGGCGGGAGCCUGAUGCAGCAACGCCGCGUUCGUGAUGCCCUCCUUCGGGUUGUAAACCGCUUUCUCCUGUGACGAAGCGUGAUUGACGGUAACGGGUAAAGAAGCACCGGCUAACUACGUG